rnacentral:rRNA from 1 species
UACGUAGGGUGCGAGCGUUGUCCGGAAUUAUUGGGCGUAAAGGGCUCGUAGGCGGUUUGUAAGCCAGGUGUGAAAUCCCCGGGCUCAACCUGGGAAUGGCAUUUGGGACUGCAAGGCUGGAGUGCGGCAGAGGAGACUGGAAUUCCUGGUGUAGCGGUGAAAUGCGCAGAUAUCAGGAGGAACACCGGUGGCGAAGGCGGGUCUCUGGGCCGAUAUUGACGCUGAGGAGCGAAAGCGUGGGGAGCAAACAGG